rnacentral:rRNA from 1 species
UACGUAGGGUGCAAGCGUUAAUCGGAAUUACUGGGCGUAAAGCGUGCGCAGGCGGUUUUGUAAGUCUGACGUGAAAUCCCCGGGCUCAACCUGGGAAUUGCGAUGGAGACUGCAAGGCUAGAAUCUGGCAGAGGGGGGUAGAAUUCCACGUGUAGCAGUGAAAUGCGUAGAGAUGUGGAGGAACACCGAUGGCGAAGGCAGCCCCCUGGGUCAAGAUUGACGCUCAUGCACGAAAGCGUGGGGAGCAAACAGG